rnacentral:tRNA from 1 species
GGGCCAUUAGCUCAAUUGGCAGAGCAGGCGACUCUUAAUCGUCAGGUUGAAGGUUCGAUUCCUUCAUGGCCCACCA